rnacentral:rRNA from 1 species
GACAGAGGUCCCGAGCGUUAGGCGGAAUCACUGGGCUUAAAGCGUGUGUAGGCGGAGUGCUAAGUACCUUGUGAAAUCCCACGGCUUAACCGUGGAACUGCUGGGUAUACUGGUUCUCUUGGGCCACUUAGGGGUUACCGGAACAAACGGUGGAGCGGUGAAUGCGUAGAUAUCUGGAGGAACACCGGGUGGCGAAGGCGGCAUCCUGGACCGGCAUUGACGCUGAGGAGCGAAAGCCAGGGG